GACGAACGCUGGCGGCGUGCUUAACACAUGCAAGUCGAACGGAAAGGCCCUGCUUGCGGGGUACUCGAGUGGCGAACGGGUGAGUAACACGUGGGUGAUCUGCCCUGCACUUCGGGAGAAGCCUUGGAAACUGGGUCUAAUACCGGAUAGAAGCGAUCUUGAGGGUGAUGGUGGGAAAGUUUUUUGGGUGUGGGAGGAGCUCGCGGCCUAUCUGCUUGUUGGUGGGGUAAUGGCCUACCAAGGCGGUGACGGGUAGGCGGCCGGAGAGGGUGGACGGCCAAAUUGGGGAUGGGGAACCGGCCAAGCCCCCAAGGGGGGGAGGCAGGGGGGAAUUUGGAACAAGGGGCGGAGGCUGGAUGCGCCAAGCCGGGGGGCGGAAGGACGGCUUUCGGUUGUAAACCCCUUUCCGUAUGGAACGAAGUUUUUGUGACGGUAACUAGAUAAGAAGCACCGGCUAACUACGUG
rnacentral:rRNA from 1 species